CAAUGAUAGGAAUUAAUAACGUUGUUUUCAGGAUUAAAUGAAAUAACACAUGGAGAAAGAGCUUGCCCGGGGCUGGGCUCCUAGGAACUGCCGGGUUCUUUUGUCAUCUCUUCCUUUUUCUUCUCAAUGACAAAGCAAAUAUGACACAUCCUUGAGUUCCUGUGCCAUCUUCUCAUCCUCUUUUCUGUUUGUCUCCUUCGCUUUGAAAUCCUGUUCAAGUCUCAUCUCCUGAUGCUCAAGCAUCAUGGCAUCAUUUCCAGUGGAGUCGCUGAACUUGUAGGUUGUCUACCUGACACCUCGAGGUCCUUACACCAAGAAGUCAGCUGUGAAGCCCGCUGAGUCCUCGGGUGGAUGUCUGCCACCACAUACAUAGCCUUUGCUGGUGGCUUGGAGAGCUGGCAGGUCAGCCACAGAAAGUGGGCAAGACCUAGUCAGUAGCGACAGGAUAUGUUCCCAGGAUGGACAGCUGCCUGAUAUGCGUUCAGUUCCAGUGCCAAAGCCAAGGGCUGCCAGUGCCCUUCCUUCAUGCUAAGGACUUCUCUCUCUCCAGGACAGCGGAUGCCUGUUUGGAAGGCUGGAUUGGACUGAGCCACAUGGCAGAGCCUUGGAGAUGGCAGGGGAGGGAAGUCGAAGACAUGGGCAAGUCUCAGUUCUCAACAGUGGCUGUGUGCCAGGCACUGAACGAGGCAUUUUGCAUGCAACAUUUCACUUUAUCUGCACAACAGCCCCCUGCUGAGGAACUAUGGCCCCACUUUAAUGAUGAGGAAAUUGAGGCUCAGAGAGGGGAAGUCACCUGCUUGAGGCCACACAGCUAGUAAAUGGUAGAACGAAAGUUAAAGGUUACCUUGAAGCCUCUGCUGUUCCCAUCGUCCCACAGCCAGCCAACUCCUGAGCUCAGGAGGACGUUGGAAUAAGCCAGGCCCUCUGAGAUCCCUGACUCUGAAGUCUUUAGGGAAAGAUUCAGGUCAUGAUCAUCAAAACGCCUUACUUUUGUGGAGCAUGGGAACGUUUACAGGAUGAAUUUACAUCUAGCAUUUCAUUUGCCUCUCACAGUAGCUUAGUGAAUUAUUAGCUCCAUAUCACCAAUGAGAAACUGAGGCAUGAAGAGACGGAGAGAGUUUCAGGGCACUGUCUCCUAAUCUGGAGCUCUUUUCACUGGGUUUCAGAGAGAACAGAGCACUUUUAUUAAGCAUUUCAAAACAAGUUUAAUAUAGUAUUCUGUUAAAUACUAAGUCCUAGGCUGAAAGCUCCUAAAUUGGAAACUGUAUAUGAUUUAUCUGUUUGUGCCCCACACCUAUCAGUGUGGGGCUUAUUGCAGAUAAUCAAUUUCCAUGGAAAGAAUCAUGCCUAUAGGUAAUUGCGAUUCAUCUGUCUAGAAAGUCAUGAGCCUGCUGCCUUGGCUUCAGGGCCAUUUCUUCAUAGUAUUUUUCAAUGUGUCUGUCAUUUUUAGCACAGCAAUUGGUAACUGGAACAGUGGCUUAAAAAUGUUUUAGUGGUGGAACUCUCUUUCUCAAAGAAAAUCUUAGGCAGAAUCUCAACAUGGUAAAUAGUUUUUUAGCAAAGGCUAAAAAAUACCAGGCAAUUUAUAGCAUUUGAUGUAAAAGAGUUCAGAAGGAAACCUUUGCAACCUGUCUAUAUUUGCUUAGGUUUCCAAUGGGGCACAUUCUGAAGAUCACUAAGCAGAAUCAUUACAUUGACCAGAGUACUGUUCAUUCCCUAACCUUGUCAAACAUUACGGUGCUAUGUAGGGAGAAGGGAUGAGGACAAGAGCAGGCAAGGGGAGAAUGGUGGGUGCUCUCCUGCUGCAUGUCUGAGUCAUAUGCAUCGUGGAUGGGAAGAGUUGAGGAGAGCUGGGUGAGAACUCAGGGCUGAGUUGCAAGUGGCCUGUAUGUCGGAUAACAGUCUUAGGUGCAAGCAGUAGAAUCUACUCUAGCUGGUUUAAGUGCUGAGAGAUUUAUUAAAAGGUGUGUAUAGCUCAUAGAAUCACUGAGAGGGCUGGAAACCAUGCUUUAGUCUAGGCGGAACUUUCAGGAACAACUCCCAAAACCCACACUGCAGAACUGCACUGCCAAGGGAGCUGCUUCCUCAGCACGAAGAGGCAGUGGUUGGUUCCAGAAUCUCAUUGCCUUUGGUGUGAUUUGGAGUCACCAGAUCAGGGCAAGAAGUCAGAAAGCCAUCACUGUAGCUACUGGCUCCAGAAGCACACCUCUCUACCCUGAUCCACAUCAGAAAAAGGAAGCCUUGCACUCUGUCUUUCUUCUCACAUAAGUCAACUCACAAUUGAAGACCAAUACAAGUACAAUAGAAUGGUAGAUCCCAAGCUAUAUACAGAGUCAUCAUUACUAGGUAGUCUGAGAAAUUUAGCAUUCACAGGACCAGAGAGGGUUGGAAUGGAUAUUGAGCAAGCUAAUCCCCGGUAAUGUGACAGUCUGCCAUUUUGGUAUUCAACAUUCAUAUACAUCUUUCCUUAUACUUAAAUUUCCAAACAAUAACUGAUGUUUCUGCCUGUACUAGUCAGGAUCCUCCAGAGAAACAGAAACAAUAAUAUAUACUGAUUAUAGGGAAUUGGCUGAUGGGUUUAUGGAGGCUGAAAAUUGCAAGAUCUGCAGCCUGCAAUGGUUUGGUUCCAAUCUAAAUGCUGGCGGUCUUAAGAUCUAGAAAGAGCUGAAGCUUCAGUUUCAGUCUAAAGGCAGGAAAAAACAUCAAUGUCCCAGUUCAAAGGCAAUCAGGCAGGAGGAAUUCCCUCUUGCUUAUGGGUGGUCAGCCUUUUUGUUCUAUUCAGGCCUUUAAUGGACUGGAUGACCCACUCACAGUAGGAAGGGCCAUCUCUGCUAUACCCAGUCUACUAAAUUCAAAUGUUAAUCUCAUCCAGAAACACCCUUACGAACACACUCAGAAUAACGUUCAACCAAAUGUCUGGGUCUAGUCAAGUUGCUGCAUAAAAUGGCCCAGUCAAGUUGACACAAAAUUAACCAUCACAUUGCCUAACUUAAGAUAUAGUUUAAAGCUUGUGACAUUGGUGAUAUUUGACUUUUUGACCUAAAAUGUCAAAUUCAUCAGGCUUAAUAAUAACUAUUAAUAACUGUAAUACACAUAUUUAUCCUUUCCAAAGGUCUUAUUGGUGAGAACAUCCAUCUCUGAGUAAUAGUUAUGCCUCCUGUAGUUCAUUUACAAUCCGAUUUUAUAGUCCUCUAACCUAGGGAAUAAAUUAGAAAGAUAGCCAUCACAAUCACAGCAGUAAAAGAAAGAGAAAGGGAUAAAAGAGGUUACCAGAUAGAUAGAUAGAUAGACAGACAGAUAGAUAGAUAGAUG
rnacentral:lncRNA from 1 species